rnacentral:rRNA from 1 species
UGGUGGAGCAUGUGGUUUAAUUCGAAGCAACGCGAAGAACCUUACCAGGUCUUGACAUCCUUUGACCACUCGAGAGAUCGAGCUUUCCCUUCGGGGACAAAGUGACAGGUGGUGCAUGGUUGUCGUCAGCUCGUGUCGUGAGAUGUUGGGUUAAGUCCCGCAACGAGCGCAACCCUUAUUACUAGUUGCCAGCAUUCAGUUGGGCACUCUAGUGAGACUGCCGGUGACAAACCGGAGGAAGGUGGGGAUGACGUCAAAUCAUCAUGCCCCUUAUGACCUGGGCUACACACGUGCUACAAUGGAUGGUACAACGAGUCGCGAAGUCGUGAGGCCAAGCUAAUCUCUUAAAGCCAUUCUCAGUUCGGAUUGUAGGCUGCAACUCGCCUACANGAAGCCGGAAUCGCU